AUUUUUUUUCUUUUUACUUGCCUUAGUCAAUUCAAACCCAGAGAAAAUGUUAGUUCCAUGCUUCAAACCAAAGAAACUUUUAGCUAGAUUCAAUCUACCCGGUUAGCUAGCUAGUUAAGUAAAGCUAAUUCUUUAUUUUAUUCUUUAAAAAAAAAUUAUCAAAAUUUUAUUUAAAAAUAGAACACAAUUAUGCUCUCGCUUUGACGAUAAUCCAAAUCAUAGAGCAUUAUUCUCAAAAUGUUGGUUCAAGUGAUAGAAGAUUCAAAGUUACAUGUUCGAGUCCUACCACUUGUCCAUUGGUGAAGUAGCAUAUAUACAUCCCAUUAUUUUAUACUAGAUGCAGUGGGAGUCCUUAUAUCUGAGUGAUCCAUGUGAUGGCACAAUAUAUAUAUAUAUAUAUAA
rnacentral:misc_RNA from 1 species